rnacentral:rRNA from 1 species
UACGAGGGGUGCAAACGUUAUUCGGAAUUACUGGGUGUAAAGGGUACGUAGACGGCAUAUUAAGUUAAUUGUUAAAUUCCCCAGCUUAACUGGGGGUAGGCGGUUAAAACUAAUAAGCUAGAGGAUGAGAGAGAGAAGUGGAAUUCUCGGAGUAGCGGUAAAAUGCGUAGAUCUCGAGAGGAACACCGAUGGCGAAGGCAGCUUCUUGGCUCAUUUCUGACGUUGAGGUACGAAAGCGUGGGGAGCAAAC